GGCUGGGCGGGGCCUGGGCUAGGGGAAGGGCGAGGGCGAGUUGUGGCGUCUCUGAAGCCGGGCCAUGAAGAAGAUCGUGGCUAUGGAGAGCCAGAAGGGCCAAGUGUGCCUGAGCUCCUGGAGUAACCACAUCUUCUCUGACCCCUGGUACCAGACCCCAGAUGAGGAUGUCGGGAUGAUCUACAAAGCUGCGUCCAGGGAAACGCGUGGAAGCUGCAGCGGAGCCUCCUGCUCAAGAGAAAAGACCAGUCUGAAACCUGCAAGAACAGAGAAUUCUUCCAAAUCAACAAGAAAAACUCUCUAAAAUUGGGUGAAGUACUUUUUCCAGCUCUGCAAGUCACCUAUGCACAUAUGAAAAAAAUACUUCGUGUUUCUGAUGAGAAUGAAUUUAAUUUAAAAAAGGAAUGAAAUACCGUUUUCUGUCCUCAAAGUUUGUGAGGAUGAGGAGCAGUGAUAUUUACACUGCUGCUUAAAGUUAAGUUGCUGAUGACUUUUCAAAAAGUCAGUUUGGUGGUAAGUAUCACAUUUAAACUAUGUG
rnacentral:lncRNA from 10 species